rnacentral:rRNA from 1 species
ACGGCUCAGUAACACGUGGACAACCUACCCAAAGGUCUGGGAUAACUCCGGGAAACUGGGGAUAAUACCGGAUAGGUCAAGAGUACUGGAAGGGUUUUUUGAUUGAAAGCUCUGGCGCCUUUGGAUGGGUCUGCGGCUGAUUAGGUUGACGCCGGUGUAAAGUACCGGCGUGCCGAUUAUCAGUACGGGUUGUGGGAGCAAGAGCCCGGAGAUGGAUUCUGAGACACGAAUCCAGGCCCUACGGGGCGCAGCAGGCGCGAAAACUCUACAAUGCAGGCAACUGCGAUAGGGGAACAUCGAGUGGCAUCUACAUUAGGUGUCUGUCCAGCUGUCUAAAAAACGGCUGUUAGCAAGGGCCGGGCAAGACCGGUGCCAGCCGCCGCGGUAAUACCGGCGGCUCGAGUGGUGGCGGAUAUUAUUGAGUCUAAAGGGUCCGUAGCCGGCUUUGCAAGUCUUGUGGGAAAUCCAGCGGCUUAACCGUUGGGCGUCUGCGGGAUACUACAUUGCUUGGGACUGGGAGAGGUAGGAGGUACUCAGGGGGUAGGAGUGAAAUCCUGUAAUCCUCUGGGGACCACCGGUGGCGAAGGCGUCCUACCAGAACAGGUCCGACGGUGAGGGACGAAAGCUAGGGGCACGAACCGGAUUAGAUACCCGGGUAGUCCUAGCCGUAAACGAUGCCCGCUAGGUGUCACGGCAGUCGUGAACUGCCGUGGUGCCGUAGGGAAGCCGUGAAGCGGGCCACUUGGGAAGUACGACCGCAGGGUUGAAACUUAAAGGAAUUGGCGGGGGAGC